rnacentral:rRNA from 1 species
UACGGAGGGUGCAAGCGUUAUCCGGAUUUACUGGGUUUAAAGGGUGUGUAGGCGGGUCGUUAAGUACCUUGUGAAAUCCCACGGCUCACCCGUGGAACUGCUGGGUAUACUGGUUCUCUUGAGCGACCCAGGGGCGAGCGGAACAAACGGUGGAGCGGUGAAAUGCGUAGAUAUCGUUUGGAACGCCAAAGGUGAAAACAGCUCGCUGGGGGUCUGACUGACGCUGGAGACACGAAAGCCAGGGGAGCGAACGGG